UACGUAGGGGGCAAGCGUUGUCCGGAAUCAUUGGGCGUAAAGCGCGUGUAGGCGGCCCGAUAAGUCCGCUGUGAAAGUCCAGGGCUCAACCCUGGGAUGCCGGUGGAUACUGUCGGGCUCGAGUCCGGAAGAGGAGUGUGGAAUUCCUGGUGUAGCGGUGAAAUGCGCAGAUAUCAGGAGGAACACCAAUGGCGAAGGCAGCACUCUGGGACGUGACUGACGCUGAGACGCGAAAGCGUGGAGAGCAAACAGG
rnacentral:rRNA from 1 species